rnacentral:rRNA from 1 species
AUUGAACGCUGGCGGCAGGCCUAACACAUGCAAGUCGAACGAGUGGCGGACGUGUGAGUAAUGUCUGGGACACUGUCUGAUGGAGGGGGAUAACUACUGGACACGGUAUCUAAUACCGCUUACCAUCGUGUGUCCCCAAAGGGGUUUAGCUUGUUGGGGGUUUAACGGCUCACCAAGGCGACGAUCCCUAGCUGGUCUGAGAGGAUGACCAGCCACACUGGAACUGAGACACGGUCCAGACUCCUACGGGAGGCAGCAGUGGGGAAUAUUGCACAAUGGGCGCAAGCCUGAUGCAGCCAUGCCGCGUGUAUGAAGAAGGCCUUCGGGUUGUAAAGCACUUUCAGCGGGGAGGCGUUACCCGCAGAAGAAGCACCGGCUAACUCCGUGCCAGCAGCCGCGGUAAUAC